GGCGGGUUAGCUCAGUCGGUAGAGCAGUGGAAUCAUAAUCCACGUGUCGGCGGUUCGAGUCCGUCACCCGCUA
rnacentral:tRNA from 4 species